UGGAUCCCUCUAUUAAUUCCCAACCUCGCUCUAGCUAGCUAGCUAUGUAGUUCUUCCGUUGAUUAUAUUUCUGCUCAUGUAGUAUAAAACUACUAUUUCCACAUCUGUCGUCCAUUCUUUUUAAUUAAUUAAGCUAGCUAGUUCAGUCUAAGUAGUCCAGCAGCGUCCAUGAAGAAUUAAGGAUAUGUUUGGCUCGCAGGAAUAGGGGUUCGGAAUCGGAAUCAGAAUGGGGUUUGGUUAGGUGGAAUUGGAAUGCUAUGUGAAGGGUAAACCUCAAGAUAUCCGAUGUUGUCGAAUCAAGCGCCGAACCGACCUCCAGCGAGAUCCACCCCUGCUCUAAUUCAAGAUCGAUCUAUUUCUUUAGUGCUUUGGUUCAGGUUUUGGUCACGACUAAAGUGGUUUCAUGAGAUUACUUGGAUAGAAAAUUCGAUUUGAUCAAUGAUGUUUCUAUUAGAUUUAGGGUUGUAUGCGAGCAUUUUGGUUCCCACCUGAUGAACAAAUGAGGAUUACUUUGUAUAGUUAAGAUUCCCAUCUGAUGAACAAAUGAUUUUCCUUGCAGUCCGCUAUUGGUUCUAUAGCAGCUUCCACAGAAAAUGCUUUCAUUCCAUAUUCUUGACGUGAUGAAAGUUUUCAUGGUGGGGACCUUUACGAGCCCGGACAACUGAACUAGUUGGCAUUGUUGCAAUGGUUGUUGGAAGAACAAGGAUGGAACCUAUAUUACCACCUUUCAUUGAAGCAACAAUUUCAGUAAUUCACAUCUAAAGCAUCUUCACUUAGUAAGCAGGCAUUUAUUUUCUCCAAUAGAUGAUUUAUAGGUAUUUUUUCAAGGAUUUGGAUAUUGGAGUUGAGUGAAGUUAGAGAAUACAUGCAUGGGUUUUUCAGCAAUGCUGCUGAAAUUGUGGAUGCAAGUAUAACUGCCUUGUCAAAUUAAAUUUUAAUGCCAAUUUAUAUGAACUUGGUUCUCUAACCAUGAAUGUCAUAUAUGUAACAAAGUUCUGUUUUGGUAAACAGUACCUUCAACAAUGUUGUGCCUCUUGCAUUUUCUUUGUGCAAUCUUGACAAUUGUUUUGUAGUAGACAUUGAUGAUUCUGAUGGUGAUGAAAGUGUUAAUGGAUUUGGUGGAGUUUCUUCUGAUGAUGAUGCUCAUGAUGAACCAAGAGUGCGCAAUAUUAGCAUAAGAACAGGGGUCUUGGAUGAAAAGGUAGCAGCAACUUAGGCCUUUGGACUGCUUGCAUUGCAUACAGUUGUGCAAUGGACUCCAAAAGUAAUUGAACCAGCACGGCUUUCAUAUUGUCGACUGUAUCUGGAAUUUUAGAGAACUUGGUAAAUUUCAGUAGCAAAGAAUUUUUCUUUGCUAUUAUGUAUUUUUGUUUUUAAGCAUUCAUGUUGUACCAAUAAUAUUUCCACCAUUAUUAUAAAGAGAUUUUUGUUUGUU